UACUCCUACGGGAGGCAGCAGUGGGGAAUAUUGCACAAUGGGCGAAAGCCUGAUGCAGCAACGCCGCGUGAAGGAUGAAGGGUUUCGGCUCGUAAACUUCUAUCAAUAGGGACGAAAAAAAUGACGGUACCUAAAUAAGAAGCCCCGGCUAAUCAUC
rnacentral:rRNA from 1 species